UAAGGAGGGGGUUAGCGUGGUUCGGAAUUACUGGGCGUAAAGCGCGCGUAGGCGGAUUGGAAAGUUGGGGGUGAAAUCCCAGGGCUCAACCCCGGAACUGCCUCCAAAACUAUCAGUCUGGAGUUCGAGAGAGGCGAGUGGAAGUCCGAGUGUAGAGGUGAAAUUCGUAGAUAUUCGGAGGAACACCAGUGGCGAAGGCGGCUCACUGGCUCGAUACUGACGCUGAGGUGCGAAAGCGUGGGGAGCAAACAGG
rnacentral:misc_RNA from 1 species